GAUUUCCUCCUUUAUUCUAAUUUCAGUGUCUUGCGACCAUGAACAAGUUGGGAAUUUGAUGAGACAGGGCUGAAUACAGCAGUUUUCCUCCUAGAAAUCAUCUGGGGCAUUUUCUUUGAAUUGAUGGGAACAAUAAGGCAUAACUGUUUGCACAAACUUGGGAUAAAUGAUUUUGGGAUAACUGUCUACCAGAAUAGGGACAUUUGACCCGUGCUUCUGAGAUGUAAAUCAAAGAAUCUCUAUCAUGACUGGCUCUGAGGUCUCCUGCAGUGUAUCUCUCACAUUAUCCUGUUCUCAUGCUGAGGAGCCUGUGGUCCCUGUGUGGGGAUUAGACAGUGGAGUGUCAUGGGUGUAGGUGAAUUGGUUUAUUUUGCCUGUCCCUGUCUGAUUUUAUUGCAGGAAUUACAAAGGAAGAAGAGGAAGAAGACCAAGGCCCACCAUGCCCCAGGCUCAGCAGAGAGCUGCUGGAGGUAGUAGAGCCUGAAGUCUUGCAGGACUCACUGGAUAGAUAUUAUUCGACUCCUUACAGUUAUCUUGAGCUUCCCGAUUCAUGCCAUUCCCAGGGAAGUUCCCUUUACUCAUUGGAGGAACAACACGUUGGCUUUUCUCUUGGCGUGGGUG